rnacentral:tRNA from 1 species
GUGAGAUGGCUCAGUGGCUAAGAGCACUGACUACUCUUCCAGAAGACCUGGGUUCAAUUCCCAGCACUCACA